UUAAACAAAUGUUUUGUCAUGAUCUUAAUAACUGUGGAGAAGUUAGCUAAUAUGUGUUUAAUGUAAUAUAACUGACUGAACAGAGACUAACGCAACCUAUCUACCUCAACAGGUGGAGCAGAGACGCUGCAGUUCUUUCCACCGGCAGUUAAGUUGCCAAAGCAGCAGGCAGUCACAGCACUGUGCCAGGGGAGCUGCAGCUCUGAGGGCAGUGAGGUACCUCCAUCUAGGGCAAUGGCAGAAACUAAUGAUCGGGCCGAUAAUCAGCAGAUUAGUCAACAAUGAGAAAG